CAAGUCGAACGAGAAAGUGGAGCAAUCCAUGAGUAAAGUGGCGUACGGGUGAGUAACACGUGGAUCAUCUACCUCUUAGUGGGGAAUACCCCCGGGAAACUGGGGACAAUACCGCAUAAGCUCGAGAGAGGAAAGCAGCAAUGCGCUGAGAGAGGAGUCCGCGGUCGAUUAGCUAGUUGGUGAGGUAAUGGCUCACCAAGGCUGUGAUCGAUAGCCGGCCUGAGAGGGCACACGGCCACACUGGCACUGAAACACGGGCCAGACUCCUACGGGAGGCAGCAGUGGGGAAUCUUGCACAAUGGGGGAAACCCUGAUGCAGCGACGCCGCGUGAGCGAUGAAGCCCUUCGGGGUGUAAAGCUCUUUCGGCAGGGAAGAUUAUGACGGUACCUGCAGAAGCAGCUGCGGCUAACUACGUGCCAGCAGCCGCGGUAAUACGUAGGCAGCAAGCGUUGUUCGGAGUUACUGGGCGUAAAGGGUGCGUAGGCGGUCCUAUAAGUAUGGUGUGAAAUCUCCCGGCUUAACUGGGAGGGUGCGCUAUAGACUGUGGGACUAGAGUGUGGGAGAGGAAAGUGGAAUUCCUGGUGUAGCGGUGAAAUGCGUAGAUAUCAGGAGGAACACCGGUGGUGUAAACGGCUUUCUGGACCAUAACUGACGCUGAGGCACGAAAGCGUGGGUAGCAAACAGGAUUAGAUACCCUGGUAGUCCACGCCCUAAACGAUGCAUAUUUGGUGUGGGUCAUUCAGUUGAUCCGUGCCGGAGCUAACGCGUUAAAUAUGCCGCCUGGGGAGUACAGUCGCAAGGCUGAA
rnacentral:rRNA from 1 species